UCAUUCUGGCUUCUUGGAGAUGAGGCUGCGUAACAUUCGGCGAAAGCUUGAAGCUGCCCUAGACACAGGAGCAAGAUCAGAGCAGGACCAGGGGGAGAGCAGUGAGACCGGUGAGUGGAUCACCCUGAUGAAACAACUCAGGCCUUCUUCAGAGAACAUUCCUUCAAUCAAAUCAGCAAUGGAGAAUACAUACACCAGGCGCAGAUCAUGGAUAUCAAAGGCAACUCCUACAUUGACUGAAAUCUUCAAUGAAUACCCACGCUUCUUGGAUAUGCCAAGUUUGAUGGAUAUCGAGUUUGGCAAACUGGAAAAACAGACCAAUUCAUCAGGAAAUGGGAAGCGAGCAUCAUUCCAAAGCUGAGAGCAGUUGCUGCCUUGGAAAAAGGUGGUGUUGCGUCACUUACAGAGGGGAUGGAAGACCAGACAGAUGAUGAAAAGUGCUAUACCAUGCUGGUUGUUCUGACACAUCUUCUGCCACCAAUGCCCGGGAGUCACUGCAGUGUGAAAUCAUUCCUUAUUGAUUUUGCACCGG